UUAAAUUUGAACAAAAAGAAAGAAAAAGAAAAAGAAAAUCACUUAACUAAGUUGUCCCUAUUGUAUGAACCAACCACAUAGGAUCUUGGAAUGUUCUUCACCUUCAAAUGCAUAACAUAACAUACGAAACAAAGUUUCAUUCUUCACUCAGUUCUUUUCUUCCAUCACACAGAUACCCUUUCUCUCUUUUCUUCUUUCUCUUUCUCUCUCACCCGAAACCAUGGAUAUCUUCCGCAAUGAUCAAGAACACGACCUCCCAUAUGUUCAAAACACUGACGAUUCAGACAACAACACCACCAACGAAAACAAAAAGAUACUCUACAUAUCCAUGGUUUCCUUCACGCUUGUCUUGUUCC
rnacentral:lncRNA from 1 species